UCUACCGGAGAUAAUACUAUUACUACUUUCGGCCAGUCCCAGAAUUUCACUUCCCAAUCUACCAUGCCUAGCCACGUGAUCGGUUCACCAAGCCAAAGGGACUAUACAUUGAAUGGAAAUGUUCCUCCCUCUGGACUACCCCAUGACUCAUUAUUAAGCUUCCCAAAUGGACAUAAUGGUCUAACUGCUUCGCCAUCGCCAGUACAGCCCCAAAAUACCUAUAUUGGAAAUCCAAUGAAGUCUCCAGCUAAUUCCGAGGAUUUCGCUUCCCAACCAACCGUGCCUAGCCGUGUGAUCAGUUCACCAAGCCAAAUGGACUAUACAUGGAAUGGAAAUGUUCCUACCUUUGAACCACACCGUGACUCAUUAUUAAGCUUC